UUUUUUUCCAGUCGAUCACCCUGGGUGAGGUUCUUUUGCCCACCGUUUUUUAGACGAGCGACGGUUCGUGCUGCCUCCUCCUCUUCUCGUCCGGGGUUGAGGUUUCGCCGCGGGUCACUCGUUGCUGGCGCUCGAUCGAGCUAAGGAGAGGCCAAGCUAAGCUAAGACGUCUUAGGAGGAGGGCCGGUUUGGUCAGGGAGAUGCAGAGACGUGCUUCGUUCGAAACCUCAGAUGUAUAGCUACUCGUAAACCUUCCUCUUAACUGUAUGUAUAUCGUCAACUUUUCCUACCCAAUACCGUACUCAUCCGAUGUCCCUAGGUCACUCGGACUUCCCGUCUUAUCACUACCUAGAUCAAGUCAACUUCACUUUUUACUAAAGAGUUUUAAUGUAUUACUAUAAAAGGUAUACUGAGCUGAUUCUAGUCCUGGAUCACUUUCGUAGGCGUUCAGGUACCUAUCUCAGAGUCAUUGUUCCAACAAUGCACCUUCCCUUCAAUUAAGAAGUCCUUUACCUUUCAAGAGAGGUCAACUAGCACGUAAGCAAGAACCAGUAAUAGAAGGUCACCUACCAGGACUUUGCCACCUAUGCUACCUAAGUGCUCGAAUACAAAGUGUCAAAAGACGGCUACCAAGAGAAAAACAACGACCAAAAGUCCCUUCGGUGUAUUCUUAUAUACUACAGCUAUUUCCAACCCUUUAUGUGUUCCUGUAAGUACGAUCUUCAAACUCUACCUGUUAAUCACUACGUCGCAAUAGUGGACUAGUUUCCAAGGAGCAGAUGAGAUCAGACCGUGGGUAAUAGGUAUAACAGUUACAACCGUGACGAAGUUUUCUUAGUAUACGAUUACAGUGACUGUAGGUACUACCUAAUCUAAAAAGUCUCGUACUUCUACAAUCUAUAAGUAAACCUGAGAAAAGACAAUUUAAAAGGUGACUACCCGCCCUCGAACAACGACCGUCAUUACUACUAAGUUAUAUACAGAUGCUGGAAGUCCGUUUGUUUCACUGUAACGCAAACGGACGGGUAUGUAGACUACAGUUGUGUCAUCGUAAACGACUACUUAGACCAUUGGAUGAAAUAAGACCUUCGCUACUAUUGAACACGUUCCAGACCCUGUCUGCAACAAACAGGUGUCCCCUUCGCCGACCCCAAAACUGACCUGUAGACGUACCGUAAUGAGUAUAACUGUCGGCACCUCUACCAUCUACAAAGUAUAGUUUACCUUUUCUAGUUCGAUAAUUCUACACCCUGUAGGCCUUUUACUGUAGGUUACGACUACCAAGGCUUUUGUCUCAGGGACGGACCCUGAUGUCUAUAAGUUCUAUAGGUGUUGUCAUGUUCGUUGUUUUCGUAGGUGUACUGGUCAGUCAUCGAUGUAUGGCCCCGGUAAGUCAAGAGGCAUGUAAUUAAGCAACGAUAAAAAGAGGGUGUAUAUCGUGUCCUGUCUUCAUGUAUAUAUGUCCUAGAAUACUACGAUCACAGACGUAGAUACUACACCAUUCACCCAGCGUCCAACGGUUUGACGUUCCUGUAGUAGUAAACCGUCAAGCUCUGACGUCGACCGUAGGCAGGCUAGGUUACGAACAGUCAAGUAGUACCCUGCCGGUCUAGCGGUCUACCAGGUCCUGAGCGAGGUUCGUCCUAUGAACACUUAGGCUAAUUUAGCUCAGACGUCUAUGAAGCCCAUAGGACAUUAGAAGGCUAUAGUACACGUUAGAACCCAGUGUUUCCUAUGAGCCGUGCCAAACUGUUUUGCUAUCUUUUACUUUUCCUUGAGAUCGAUGCUACAUGUAUAUUUUACCUUCGGUUCGGUUCACGUAUACAUCAUCAUAAAGUAAUGUGGAAGCCUCUUCCAUUGCCUUGUCGGAUAGGAAUCUACCAAGUAUGCACAUAUGCAGGAAACAAAUACACUAAUGACCCAAUAAAAACGAGAAGGCCACUCGUCAACGUCAAGUAGGAAAGUCUUCGUCUUGACAAACAUGAAGCACUCUCUUUAAACAACGUCGUUUUCGUGACAUAUAAACAUGGAUAUGAUAGAGAUGAAACGUUCUUUAAAGAGCGCCGGUCUCCAUCAGCACCAAAGUAU
rnacentral:rRNA from 1 species